rnacentral:lncRNA from 1 species
UGGCAUGCCAUAACUUCCAUGCAUGCAUGUAUAGCCAUACGUGCUGCCAAAAGUAUUAUAAAUAUGAAUAAAAAAAUCCAUGAAUAUAGGAAAAUCAACAGCAGUAGAAAAACCAGCAAGUCGUCUCCAUAACUCAACAGCCAUUAGACAAUGCAAAAAAACAUGUGAAAUAGAUUUAUCAUGAUCACAAAAAAGACAUGCAGCAGGUACAUGUAUCCCAUGCCUCAAAAGAAUAUCCCGAGUAGGAAGCACUCCACGACAAGCACGCCAAAGAAAGUCACGA